UGUUUACGAAGAUGCCAUACUCAAACUGAAGUUCUAUAUCUGAAGUUUUCCAAGUCAGUCUGCUCCCAGUCCUGAAAGAGGAAGGAGGCAACUUGCAUUUCUUGACGAGCAUUAGAACGAAGCCAUCCAGCCACGAUGUCGGAGGAAGUUACCGUGAAAGUCCUGAACGAAACGGAGAAGGCAGCCAUGCGCAGGACCUCGACUCCGUGGCUGUGUCCCAACGCCUGCAAAAGGCUAUGUUGAAGAUGACGGGGAAUUUUUUGGACGAAACGACAGGCAAGGUGAACUACGCGAGUCUUAGAUCAUCAGAAGAAUACAGAGCCUACUGUGCGAUGGCGGGACAGCUCCGUGCAGUCGACC